rnacentral:lncRNA from 1 species
AUCAAUUACCGGCAGAGGCUUUAGGAAGGGUGUUCCGAGCAAAUCUUGAUCUUCUAGUUGCUUACAAAGAUCAAGUUGCAGGUCUUAUGUCUCCCUUGUCUCUGUAACUUAGUUGUAACAUUCAUGGGGUUAGAUUGAUGUCAUUUGUAUCUAUUGCUUGGCCUAAACUCCUCACAGUAGUUGUUUUGUAAGUGUUUAAUUUUCAUGUAUUUUGUACUGAUUGCAGAAGCUGCUAAGGAGGAAGAAGCUGAAGAUGAGGAUGAUGGGAUGAUGCCGAUACUAUCACACUUCGAAAGUCGGCUGAGCUGGUAUCUGAAUAUGAUGGCUUAAAAAACAUUUGCUUGCAUAUAAACGAGUUCUAUAGUAUGUCUGUAUGCAUGUAU